GGAGGUGGAGGGAUGGUGCUUUCAGUUGCAUCAUAAGGCAGGUUCAUAAAACAAACAGCAACAUUCUGUGUUUACUUUUAAUUUGGAUUUUUUUUUUUUUGCAUUAAUCUUGAUUUCUAAAAAAUAUUGCACGAGUUCCUGUUGCGGCUCAGUGGGUUAAGAACCCAACUAGCCAGGGAUCAAACCCCAUGAGUACUAACUAGUCAGAUUUGUUUCCGCUGAGCCAUGAUGGGAACUCCAAGACUGCCUCUUUGCCCCGGCCACAUCUUCUGCCCGAGUUGUGGUCUUGUCCUCAAACCCCUUCACCUUAGACAUGCCUUCUUAGCUCUGGAGUUCCACCUGGGGGAACACCUCCUGGCCCCCUGCUUGGGUUCCUCAAGCCGGCUCCAUUGCUCUUUUUCCAGAGAAAUCUGUUUCCAUUCAACUCCCGGCUGUUAGGCUCAUGAUUCUGCUGUGAUUUAUCUGUUUACCUGUGUCCUCAGUUACACUGCCAGCUCUCCUUGAGGAGAGCAAGCGGGCUUUUCAUGUCAAAUGAAUAAUGAAUACAAUUGGAUACAGUGAAAGGAGCAGUAACGGACUAUGAAAUAAUUCAUGAAACACAAUAGCACAGCCCAGAGGCUCUGCUCGAAUGUCACACGAUCCUGAGUUCAAAUGUUAGUUGUCAUCAGUUAGCAUUGUGACACUGUAAAUAUUUUCAGAUUUUUUUACUAUGGAAACUUUCAAACAUAAGCAAAAGUAGAGAGAACCCUCUAGUGAGCCCACACGGGCCCACCCUGCAACUACCCCAGUCAACUCCUGGCCAAUCGUGUUUCUUUUCUUUUUUUUUUUUUUUUUGUCUUUUUGCUAUUUCUUUGGGCUGCUCCCGAGGCUUAUGGAGGUUCCCACUCCAAACCAAUCGUGUUUCCUGUAGUGCCCCACCCUCCACCCCCAUCCCUGGAUUUUGGGGAAGCAAAUGCCAGACAACAUAUUAUUCCACAUGGAAUUAUUGCAGUCAUUACAGUAAACUAUGAAUUGAUUGCAAACUCUAUAUGAACCAUGUGCAAAAAAGAGCUGGCAAUGGGUUGGGGUCACGGGGAGACCCUUUUAAAGCAAGCCUUGAAGGAUGGAUAUGGAUUUUGGCAAAGAACAUUUGUAAAUGGGAAGCUGUAAGCCAUGUGAGCCGCACGGGGUCUGCAGAUUGUUUUUGCUCGAACCCCUGUCAGGAUGGGGAGAGGGAACUCGAGGGAAAACCUAGGUGUGGAACAGAGGGGGGCCAGCCCCCUGAUGCCUUUUAGGAGGAGGGAUGGGCUGGGGGAUCUUUUAGUUUUAGGUAACAUUGUGCUCCUCUGAAAGUCUGCACUCACAGUUGUGAAAUGAGGCGAGGACAUUAGUAAUACUGAUUUUGUGCCCUUCGGCUGUCUCUCAAAGCAUUUUCCUUCGUAACCCAUUUCUCCUUUUACAGGGAAAGAAAUUGUCACAGCACCUUUAAAGAAACUGGCUCCUGUACCAACUGCCAGGUUUUAGUCAGGGAGAAACGGGAACUCAGUUUUCCAUGCUCAGCCCUGCACUGAGGUGACCUGGCAACUGUGCAUUUUAUCCCACUGGGUUUAAUCCUUAUUAUGAAUAACAGAGCGAAGCUUUGUUAUUCACCAGAAUGGAUUUCUGCUGCUGGGAGAAUUAGCUGCAGUCUUAUUCGCAAGGAACCUUCUGAUGCAAUGAGGUCUUUUGAACCGUGCAUAAAUAAAUAGAGGCUAUUGUUUAGGCUUUUGGAGGUAAGGCUUAAAACUGCUCCAGAAGUUCCAGUCAGACUUCAAGUAUCUUUGUUUGGCUGAUUUUUUUUUUUUUUUUUUCUAGUAGUAGUUUUCUCCAUAUUGCUUUAGCAGCCUGACUCUUCGUCAACUCCUAAAACUAGGGCACAACCAACCCUUUAUCUGGAGACUUUUAUGCUUAGAGAGGACGAAAUUCUGGGUCCAAAAAAAAAAAAAAGGGAUGGAAAAUAAAAGUACGUGCAGAAAUGGAGCCUUUAGGAAUAAUGGUAAAGAAAGAAUCUUGUUUCCGAUUAAGUUUUUUUGUUAAGCUGGGAGAAAUAGAUGCAUAGUAGAAAGUGAGGCUGUUAAUUUACCACCAGCCAGAAUCCCUUAUGAGGACAAGAUGCUUUAGGAUCUCUAAAGAAGAGUUGAUUAUUUGUUUUAAUCUCAAAGCUCGCACACCCCAAUUCCCCAGCACAAUAAAGCCUUUCUGGGUCCUCGGAGCAGCAAUGUGAAACUUUGUUUUCAAAACCCCGAAAGAAGUCUCCUUUCUUUGAAGGUGUUUAGUUUCUGAAAUUUUAACCUGGGAUCCCAGCUAACACAUUGCUGCUUUUUGUGUUUUUAUUUUUUUUAAUUAAUUUAUUUUUUUCCUUUAAAGAUCUACUCUCUUAGCAGCUUUCAGCUGUACCAUAGAGUACUGUUAACCGCGGUCUCUGUGCUAGGACAUUGUAGGCCCAGGACUUACUUAGCUCACCAUGUUGCUUUUCUGCGAAGGCUUAUUGAAAAUGAUUUGUGGGCUUAAUCUGGAUGUUUUCUAUUUUUUUUGAUCACCUCUGUCUACGCGUGUCCCGGGCAGUCCCUGUCUGUGUCUCUUCCACCCAGAGUGAAAGAAUUUUUUCUCAUGCGGAACCAGAUGCUCCCAGGAUGAGGGCAGCUUUCCUGACUUUCGGCAGAAGUGGGGGGGUAUCAGGCUUCUCCAGGACCCAGGAAGCUGCCCUUUGUAGGUGCUUCAUGUGUGCUUUAUUCAUGUCUCCACUUUCAUAAUCUUACCCCCAUUUCUCUCCGCCCCUGGCUCUGUCUAGAGCCUCCGGGCCAUCCACUCCUCUAAAGUGGCUCCGUGAUUCUAGUCCUUCCCAAGGGAUGAGAUCUUCUGGUGCAAAGUCCUUUCUCACCAUCCACGGACAAAACCACUAUUAGGCUGUGUUUUACCGAACUGCAGAGACUGCAUUUCCUUAAGCGCUAACACUUUUAUCUCUCUGCCCUUCCCUCUUGUCACCUGUGCAUUGUCACCCAAGCAAUUAAAACCAUUUCGAUGUACUUCUUUGAUUUGCACUGAUAUUCGAAAGGGUGUCUGUGUUGAUAUAGCGGAGUCCCUUCUUUUGCCUUUUCUCUGCCACUAUGUUUGAGUUUGGAAAGGCUUAGUGUUUGGACGGAGUUCAGAGUGACUUAGAGACUUGCUUUUGAUGCUGCUGAUAUACACAUUCUUUGAAGUCUUAGAAUGGGUAGGGUCGAUUAAAUUUGGAGCCUGUCAGCUUGUGACAUCCCCUCCCCUCACUGACCACCCCACAGCACAUGGAGUUCCUGUGCCAGGGAUCAAAUCCAAGCUCCAGUCACAACUUAAGCCACAGCUGCGGCAAAGCCGGAUCUUUAACCAACUGCACCUGGCUAGGGAUCGAACCUGCAACCCAGCACUCUCAAGACGCUGCCGCCAGUCCUGCUGCGCCACAGCAGGAACUGCUUAUUGCAUUCCAAUCACCCAUUUUGAAGCCUUGCUGAGGGACCUAAGAUUAUUUGUUAAACUGCCAUUGGAAUAAACAUAACCAACACUUUGCUUUCAAAGGAACGAACUUUUGAAAGCAAGCGAUGAGCAUACCUCUGUAUUUUCUUGACAGAUAUCAAAGAAAGAAAAUCUUCCUGUCUGAGCCUUAACAAGACAGCUAGCAUUGCCGGGAGGUUUUGCUUGCAUGACAACUUCAACAUUAUAAUCUAGAAAUCUCAAAACUCAACAAUUUUCUGUUUGGGGGUGGGGAGGGAUGUUCAAAUCGUUCUCUAUACAGCUAGUUACCAAAAUAGUCAAAUAUGAAAGCUCAUUUAUCUUCUUUCAAAAGGUUAGUCUUUUGCUACAGGAAUCACAAUUGAGGCUAAAAAGAAAGCAUUAGAAACAAACUUUUUUCUCUGCUAGUUCAAGUUUUGAGUGUUUUAAUUACUUAACUGUUUAUCUUUCUGGCAGUGAGGUUAGUACCCUAGCCAGUGAUUACCAACAAUUAAAACAACAAGUCAUCUAUGGCAACGCUUACACUCCCGGGAAACCCAAUUAAAAUCACAUUUCAUUUUUUGCUUUCAUGGUUUAGAAGUAAAUUUUCAAUUGGUUUCAUGAUUCUUGUGGGGUUUUUUUCCCAAAUUAAUGACUCUGGACAUUUGGACACUGAGCUAUGUGAAAACAAAGUGUGUUUUCUUCCCUUUGCUAUGAUUUAGGUAUUUAAAGGGGCAACUUAUGAAGAGAAGAAAUUGCCACCUAAGAGUGGGUCAAAGUCCUGUAUCCUUCUUCAGACAGAAUACCUGAAUAGGAAACCUUUUAAAAAAAACAUUGUGCUAUGUGUUUUUUUAUAUGUGAUUUUUAUAUAUUAUAUAUAUAAAAUAAAAUUUACAUUUUAACCUUUUUUAUGUGUACAGUUCAGUGGAAUUAAGUACAUUCAUAAUACUGUGCAAAAAAAAA
rnacentral:lncRNA from 1 species